rnacentral:rRNA from 1 species
GACAGAGGGUGCAAACGUUGUUCGGAAUUACUGGGCGUAAAGCGUGUGUAGGCGGCCAUAUAAGUCGGAUGUGAAAGCCCCGAGCUUAACUUGGGAAUUGCGCUUGUGACUGGCGUGCUGGAGUGUGGCAGAGGGAGGUGGAAUUCCACGUGUAGCAGUGAAAUGCGUAGAGAUGUGGAGGAACACCGAUGGCGAAGGCAGCCUCCUGGGCCAGCACUGACGCUCAUGCACGAAAGCGUGGGGAGCAAACAGG